rnacentral:rRNA from 1 species
CAGCAGCCGCGGUAAUACCGGCGGCCCGAGUGGCGGUCACUCUUAUUGGGCUUAAAGCGUCCGUAGCCGGGUUGGGAAGUCCUCCGGGAAAUCUGGCCGCUUAACGGUCAGAAUGCCGGAGGAUACUCCCAGCCUAGGGAGCGGGAGAGGCCGAGGGGAUUCCCGGGGUAGGGGUGAAAUCCUAUAAUCCCGGGAGGACCACCUGUGGCGAAGGCGCUCGGCUGGAACGCGUCCGACGGUGAGGGACGAAGGCCAGGGGAGCAAACCGGAUUAGAUACCCGGGUAGUCCUGGCUGUAAACGAUGCGGACUUUGUGUCGGACAAGCUAUGAGCUUGUCCGGUGCCGGAGGGAAACCGUUAAGUCCGCCGCCUGGGGAGUACGGCCGCAAGGCUGAAACUUAAAGGAAUUGGCGGG